CACUCGGACUAUGUUCUUUGCCGUGGCUCCAUCCAUUGACCCUGCACUUGUAAGUGAAAGUGAGGCAGUGAUGACCACAGAUGCUUUCUGCGGGCGCCGUCGCGAUGCAGUGAUGACUAGAAAGAACCAUCAGAGAGACGCACACCACAAAACACACGACAUAAUGCUUUCAUCUUAUUCCUUUUCAAAUGAGCGUGAGUUCAGGAAGGCUAUGGUUGGCAAUUAAUUUUAAUCUUAAAGCAAUACUAUGUAAUAAUUGUACCUUCAACCAACAAAAACAGUCAAUGGCAAGAGUAGUUUCUGUGUCAAAGCUAUGUCAACGCCUUUUGUAAAAAAUAUAAUAAAAUAAAUAGUAGACCAGUCAGGGCACCUCUCAUGUCUGGGCUAGCUUCAAUGCUAACACUACUGUUUGUAAGGUUUUUUUCUCUUAACAUGCCAACUUUUUCUCUGAAGAUGACAUUUUUUUUGCAUGGGAAAACUAUUGUCAGGCUCAGGGAGCUGUGUUUGUUGGAAUCCGAAAUGCAGACACAGGAAUGAGUCCAAAAGUUCAAUAUAUAUUUUAUGUAGAAACAAAGGAGGCCAAAACACAGGAACUUAAGGCGACGGUGCAGAAACUAAGGAGGGCACCGUGGGCAAAAAACAAGGACAACACUGAACAAAAAGGUACUGGAAGUACAACAUGAGCUGGACGGAGGUCUGGUGCAGCAGGACGACUGAGCUGGUUGGAGUGGCAAGAUGAACUUCAACGGGAGGAUAAAGGUAAGUGGUAGCAGGAGAAAUGCACAUGGUCUGGAAGCACAACCAUGGAGAAUAAUCCAGCGCUGGCUGGCUGCAGGUGAGGAGACUAAAAACGAUGCUGAUUGAAAACAGUUGCAGGGAUCCGGCAGAUCCGCCCAGCUCAGGAGGCGUCACAAUCUGAACAAGUCAACAGACGAGAAAUUCCGGGGUUCUCGAGUUGGGCGGAGCUACAGGACGUGCGCAGCUGUUCCUCAUUUUCAUUCUCCCUGGCCGCGGGUCACAUCCGUCCUUCUUCUUCCCCUCUUGCGGCUGGAUUUGGUCAAGAAGAAAGAUGGUUCCCAGACAAGCCAGGUGGUGUCCAUUGAAUGUGGUGGGGGGAUACUCUCACACUCUGCGUUGACACUGAUCCUGGGGUUCUCGAGUUGGGCGGAGCUUCAGGACGUGCGCAGCUGUCCCUCAUUUUCAUCACCCUUUUUAUUCUCACCUGUGGCGGCUGGGUGGCACUCGGUGAUUCUUCCUGGGUGAGCCUCCAUGCCAUGUGCUCUCUCUUCUGCUGUUGGUCAUCCCAGGUGCCAUCCAGUCCAGCCUGGUUUCUCUGCAGUACGUGUGUAGCUCCGCCUGACCGGUUUUGUAUUUGUUGAGAUUAUUUUUGCUCCUGUUUUUCCGUGAUGUACUUUUGUU